AAUUCUAUCCGUUUAACUGAAGUCUUGUAGACGCCGGUUAACAAACUUUGCGAGUCACGUGAUAUCCCGCCGUAAUUUUUGUGAAAAAGUAUUUUCAAUUAAAAUAGAAUGUCUGGAAUUGCUCUGGCUCGGCUCUCUGAGGAACGCAAAGCCUGGAGAAAGGACCAUCCAUUUGGUUUUGUUGCAAAGCCAAGUAAAAAUGCCGAUGGAACACUCAAUCUAUUGAACUGGGAAUGCCUGAUACCAGGGAAAAAAGGGGUUUGUGUUGGAUUUAUUGUGUAUUUCUGCAUGUGAAGAGUAGCUGAAAGUGGACAUGAUGAUGGAACACCUUUCAAAAGAUUAUUUUGUUUUUGGCAUUUCAAUUUUAACAUGUUAAAUUAUGUUUCCAUGACGGAGAGCAUCAAGUCGACGCUUUGUCCGCCUGUCACACCCUUUUCUGGAAAAUAACUGCAAAAAAAUCUUGAAGGAAUUUCAAUGGAGCUAUAAUAAAGAAAGAGGGCAAUAUGCACAAGGGCACUACGCAAGCACCAUAAAUUAUAGUUCUAGCUUCAGUUAUUGCUGAAUGAUAUUCGAGUUUCACUUUUACAGUAUGCACUAAUAAGGAAGCUGCUUGUCCAGACCAUAAGGAGAGAUAUAAAUGAAACUUGGAAUAAAUUAGAUAGAAAUGAGAGGAAGUGCAGUGUACAAGAGCUUUAAUCCUCUCUUCCAUGUUUACCGAGCUAUCUCCCCUUUACCAUCCCUCUUCAUUAUGGGUGCUUGUCCGGAAAGUACUGAAAGGAUUCCAUCUAAAAUGAUCUUACACUUGUCCGGAGCAUUAUUUAAAAAGUACAAAUGUGAUUUCAAUGAAACUUGAAACAUAUACUGAGGUAACUAUGCACCAUAUGUGCAGUGUGCAAAACCAUUAUCAUGUUAAACUUUUUUUUGCUCACCUGAGCACUAAGUGCUCAAGGUGAGCUAUUGUGAUCGGUCUAUGUCCAGCGUCCGUUGUUUGGCGUCAACAUCAAAUCAUCAAUUUCUCCUAAACCGCUUCGACAAUUACAAUGAAACUUCAUAGGAAUGAUCCUUGGUUGGUGCUUUUUCAAAAUUGUUCAAAGAAAUGAAUUCCAUGCAGAACUCUUGUUGCCAUGGCAACCUAAAGGAAAAGCAUCAACAAUUGAUUAUAAUCAUCAUCUUCUCCUAAACCGCUUGGACUAUUUUUAAUGAAACUUUAUAGGAAUGAUCCUUGGUUUGUGCUUUUUCAAAAUUGUUCAAAGAAAUGAAUUCCAUACAGAACUCUGGCAACCUAAAGGAAAAACUACAAAACUUUUUUUGGCAAAUACUAUGAGGCCUAGUGCUUUAAUAUUUGGUGUGUAACAUUGUCUGUUGGUUAUCUACCAUGUGUAUUCAAAUUAUGCCCCUGGAGAAAAAUUGCCUCACCCUGUGGGUUCCAAGUUCAUUAUAAAUACAUUUUGUUAAGAUCUGAUAGUUACCAGGUAAAAACUCAAAAUAAUUGGAAUCAGCAACAUCAAACUAGAAUUCCACAAAUUGGAAAUGUGGCCUGUCAGGAGCACCCAUCUUAUUUCCAGUAAAGGUCACCAUGCCCUUGACUUAUGAUAAACUAUAAAUCAACAUGGGUCAUCUACUGAAAGUUUGAAGACUCUACACAAGUCAUUAAAAAGUUACUGAUAGGAAGCAAGUGUGUGAAACAGAUGCUGGAGAAAGUCAUCCUUGUGUGUUGGCCAUGCUUCACACAGGGUUUACAAACAUAUAUGACAGUCAGCGAAAUAUUGAGCAAUAGAUUGUACAUUAUAGUGUAGUUGUAUAGAGC